rnacentral:rRNA from 1 species
GCGUAAAGCGCACGCAGGCGGUCUGUCAAGUCGGAUGUGAAAUCCCCGGGCUCAACCUGGGAACUGCAUUCGAAACUGGCAGGCUUGAGUCUUGUAGAGGGGGGUAGAAUUCCAGGUGUAGCGGUGAAAUGCGUAGAGAUCUGGAGGAAUACCGGUGGCGAAGGCGGCCCCCUGGACAAAGACUGACGCUCAGGUGCGAAAGCGUGGGGAGCAAACAGGAUUAGAUACCCUGGUAGUCCACGCCGUAAACGAUGUCUACUUGGAGGUUGUGCCCUUGAGGCGUGGCUUCCGGAGCUAACGCGUUAAGUAGACCGCCUGGGGAGUACGGCCGCAAGGUUAAAACUCAAAUGAAUUGACGGGGGCCCGCACAAGCGGUGGAGCAUGUGGUUUAAUUCGAUGCAACGCGAAGAACCUUACCUGGUCUUGACAUCCACGGAAGUUUUCAGAGAUGAGAAUGUGCCUUCG